rnacentral:rRNA from 1 species
CGAAGGGGGCUAGCGUUGCUCGGAAUUACUGGGCGUAAAGGGCGCGUAGGCGGAUAUCUAAGUCGGGGGUGAAAGCCCAGGGCUCAACCCUGGAAUUGCCUUCGAUACUGGAUAUCUUGAGUUCGGGAGAGGUGAGUGGAAUGCCGAGUGUAGAGGUGAAAUUCGUAGAUAUUCGGCGGAACACCAGUGGCGAAGGCGACUCACUGGCCCGAUACUGACGCUGAGGCGCGAAAGCGUGGGGAGCAAACAGGAUUAGAUACCCUGGUAGUCCACGCUGUAAACGAUGAGUGCUAGUUGUCGGCAUGCAUGCAUGUCGGUGACGCAGCUAACGCAUUAAGCACUCCGCCUGGGGAGUACGGUCGCAAGAUUAA